GCGAGAAAGGAGGGGCACAGUGCUUCUGCGGGUUCCCACCUGAAGACGGAGACAGAAGCUGGACUGAAUGGAGAAAUGCCUGGCAUGAGUGGUGCCGUGAGUCAGCGCAGAUCCAAGCUCUGUCCCUCUGCCCCUCUGCUCUGCUCUUUGCCAGACCACACAGCCUCCCUCCCCUCCUGCCAAGCGUGGCCAGCGUGCCGUCCAGGCCCUGGCGACAUAAUGGCCAACACAACAGUCACAUGGUCUGUUCCCAUGGCGUUUUCUUUCUAGACACAAUCAAGGCCUGAAAAGACGAUGAGAAUGCAGAUCUGGAAAUUCUGGCUGUAAAAUACCCCACAGAAAGGUGAACGAAGAAGGAACCACAAAUAAAGUCACCGCCACUGAGUGUUUACUGUGUGUUAUGGGUUGAACUGUGCCCACCCCCAAAAACCCAUGUGUUCCAGUCCUAACCCCCAGAGUGUGCCCUUAUUUGGAAAUAAGGUUGGUGCAGACACAAUUAGUUAAGCUGAGGUCAUAAGGAGCAGAGUGGGCCCCUUAUCCAAUACGACUGGUGUCCUCACGAAAAGGGAAAAUUUGAACACAGACACACUCAGGGAGAACACCGUGUGAAGAGUGGAGUCACGCUGCCCCAAACCAAGGACCUACCAGAAGCUCCGAGAGAGGCCUGGAACAGAUCCUUCUCUGGAGCUUUCAGAGGGAGCACAACCCUGACGACACCUGGAUCUUGGACUUCCGGCCUCCAGAACUGUGAGACAACAAAUUCCUGUUGUUUCAGCCUCUCAGUUCGUGGUCCUCUGUUACAGCAGCCCUGGCAAAUGCAUAUGAUAUGUAAUAGGUGCUAUGCUAACUGAUGUACAUCCACUGUCUCAUUUAACCCUCGGGACAACCCAUCAAUAGGUACCAUGGUCCAUUUUAUGGAAGAAUAAAUUAAACGAGAGGAAGGGUAAGUAACUUGUUCAAGGCUGAGCUGCUUCAAUCUAAAAGGACAGUGGUAUUCAAAGCCUCGGGCUCAGGGAAGCCCGCCCCACACCCAACCUACCCUAAUUGGGUA